rnacentral:rRNA from 1 species
UACGGAGGGAGCUAGCGUUGUUCGGAAUUACUGGGCGUAAAGCGCACGUAGGCGGCUUUGUAAGUUAGAGGUGAAAGCCUGGGGCUCAACUCCAGAAUUGCCUUUAAGACUGCAUCGCUUGAAUCAUGGAGAGGCGGGUGGAAUUCCGAGCGUAGAGGUGGAAUUCGUAGAUAUUCGGAAGAACACCAGUGGCGAAGGCGGCCCGCUGGACAUGUAUUGACGCUGAGGUGCGAAAGCGUGGGGAGCAAACCGG